UUCUGGAGUUCCCUUUGUGGAGUUUUCUUCUGUGAGCCUAGAUCUUUGGAAAUCGCAAUCAGAACAGCAGAACUAGCAUAAACCUGUCUCAGUGGCUUGACGUUAAUGCCUGAAGGGAAGUGAGAUGCACAUGCAUGUGCAUGUGGAACUGGUGGCAGUGAAUACAUGUUGGACAUGAGAGAAUUCAAGAAGCAUUCUUGACAAGUAGAUGCAACCUUGGACAUAAAGAAGAUUCUGGUGCUGACAUAAGGUCUUGUGUCAUGAAACAAAAAAGUUCUAGCAAAUUAUAGCAAGCUAAGAGAAGCUAGGCAUCUUGCAAUGUUCAUGCUUCUUCGCUGUAGUGUUUUCCAGCAUUGCACAUGGACAAGCAUCUGGACUUCAGGGCAAGUCCAAAAAUAGACGUUGCAACAAACAUAGCUCUGGAAUAAAAACACCUGAAAAUAUCUCAGAAGAGCUGGCUAUAUGUUUUGGCAACAGAGUCACUGUGGCACUAUGGAUCAAACACAUCCGGAUUUACUUUUAUGCCUCUGAGAAUCUGAGAACUGCAGCAUUACAUCUCAGCCAUCCCAAACUGUUGUAGAAGCAGCUAAAAGGAGAGUUUCAGAAGAAAAAGGGCAAAUCUUGCUUCUGUUUGAAAUCAUAUCCUUACAAUUUAAUGGUACUGGAAGAAAUUCAAGCAACAUAUUAUAAAUGAAUGCACAUGAAUAAUGACCUUUAAAUAAAAGAACUAGAUGUCUUGUGAUUGUUGUUGUACAAGAAAUAUGAAGAUCACAGAGAAAUGUUAGCUA